rnacentral:tRNA from 1 species
UCAGUUGGUUAGAGUUUUAGAUUGUGGUUCUGAAAGCCACAGGUUCGAAUCCUGUUAUUC